rnacentral:tRNA from 1 species
UAGAAUGUGGUGUAGUGUGGUAGCACGGAGAAUUUUGAGUUCUCAGAGGUAGGUUAAUCCCUAUAAUUCUAG